rnacentral:lncRNA from 1 species
CAACAAUGGGUCAGCGACGGACAACACAGUGCAGACUGAGGGGUCAGGGCACGCUUCAUGGAAGAGUGCCAGGCGAGGUGUCCGGCGAGGUGUCACAGCCCUGGCAGUAGAGAGUGGUUCGCUCAUGGGUAGCAAGAAGAAUUUACCAACAACAGCAUAGGCUUGAAAUGGAAUAUCGUAUUAGAUGGAAAGAAACGCUGCAGCCGAGUGCAGAGGGGCAUCUCAGCAAGAGAGGACUAAGUGCACUGCGGUGGAUUGUCCUUCGUGUCUCUCUUCUUAGAGGCAGACUCACUUGGCCUGAGCUUGUCCUUGUGAAAUGGCCUGAGGUUCCCUGGACACUUGUGCAGCGGCAUGGUCCUUCUUCAUGCCCUUCCUUCCAUAAGUCACUCUCGAGCCAGACAGCGAGCCAGACAGUGGGUUUAAACCUGAGCUGCACCUCAUGCUGGCUGGGUUUCCUUUGUGCUGAACACAUCUGCCUUCCCAGUAGACACUGACCGAGCCUCUGAAGAACAAGUUUUUCCCUUCUUGUGUCCCAGGCUUGCUGAAGGGCGUGGCAUUUAAAUGUCUGUAUUUACUUGAAUCGCACAUUAUUGAAUCGGAUAAAACUGAAAGAUUUUCAGGAGAAGACAAUGUCUAACUAUUGACAGACAAACUUGUACGUCUACUUGCAACUACCCACACCUGGGAGCUCGUUAAGAGCACCAAACCUUGGGUUCCAUCCCAAAACUACUGGAUCAAAAUCUGCAUAUUUAACAAGAUCUCCAGGUAAUUCAAGUGAAUAUUAAAGCUUGAGAAGCACUUAUUAUGCUCAGUGUUCUGCAUCUCCAGACCGGGGAAGAAAUACGUUCUAGUUCCCCUGGUAGAGCCACUGCCUGUCUCAAUGUUACAAGGGUAGGAGACAGAAAGAAGGGAUGGGCAGUGUGGGGAAAAGAUUAAGAGCAACUUGGAGACCUGGUUUUGGGUCUCAGAUAGGUGUGGAAUUGAGCUCAAUUUCUGUUACUUAUUAGUUUUGAAUAUUGGGCCUGUGAGCUUAACAUUCCUGUUCUGUAUAGUGGGGAUAGUCAUAGCAUCUAACUCAAUGUGGUGCCAUGAGGGUUCAAUAAUACGACACAUACAUCAGAAUCUUGAAGAAUCCUGUGUGAAUAAUAUACCUUCCAGGGCCUGACUCUAGAACUUCCAAUCAGAAUCUUUGAGAUGGUCCAGAAACGCACGUUUUUAAUGAGUUCUCCUCCAUGUAAAGUUCACAUCAGUGCUGAAGAGAUUCUGCAGCCAUAAAGGUGGAUGUUUCCAUGAGUGUUUGGGACACCAACUCAUCCUCAUUAGACAUUAGAUCCAUGCUGGGAAUCCUCAGGUCAGCAAUUUGAACCAGCCCCAGAUCCACCGAAGCUGCAGUCGGAAGAACAAGACACAGAGAAGGAGUGGCAAGAACAAGAAAGCUUCCGAGAGUGCAAGCGUUUUUUUUUUCUUUAUCGGAUUCGACGCUCUGGAGAAAAUUAAACAGGAGUUUAUGGGGAAGGAAACAGAAGCACUUACAAGUCUUUCUGGUUAUGGAAAAGAGGCCUGCAAUUCAGGAGCUGGUAAUCCGUACAGCCAACGCUUGAAGGCUGGUAGACCUUGAAGUUUAGUUUCCUACCUGCAGUUUAAGAUCCUAUGAAAACACAAUGUGACAGAAGUGAAUAUGAUGAAUUCUGAGCACCCAGUCAGAUAACUCCAUGAGUGAUGAAGAAAGCACUGAAGUCUAAUACGUGAGCCAAAACAAUAUGAAUAAAA